AAAGAGUAGGAAGUAAGCAAAGUACAUACAUAUAUUUUAUAUACAUUUUAUAUUUUUAUAUGUAAAGUAUGUAUCUUAUAUAUAUUUUUACACAUCUUAUAUCAAUGUUUUCUAGAAUAGAAAAUAAUCCGUAAAGAUACGUUGGCCACGAAUUCUUUGGAAUUUUAAUAGAGAUUCUGUAUUAAUUUUAUAUUAAAAGAAAAUGAUCCGAGAAAAAUUAACGUACUAAAGUUUUUUAAAACUUUACAAUUUUGUUCGAUUUUCUCUUCGAAUUUAAUAACGAAGGAAACAAAUGAUAAGGUGGGUUUUUAAAAGAAUUACGGAGAUGCACAUAAGGAAACGGAAUAAUGUAUUCCGUGCGACAUUCACACGUCCCAUUAAAUCAACCGUUCACCAGUAUGUUCGCAGUUCCGCUUGACAAACAUAUCCCCACAGACAUUAUCCCCAAUGUGGCUAAUAAACUGCGUCGCAAUAUUAUCUAUGUAUCCGAUCUGGGAUAUAUUAAUCAUCUAGGCGUUGUUCCAUAACCAAGAAAUCGCCGUUAUCACGUGAAUUAAUACCGAUUGACAUGGUCAGCGUUUUAAUCUGUUAUUUCUGAUCUUUUUAAUGAAAUUAAUAAAAGCAAUUGACUCAAAAAUUUUUACAUAUACAACGUAAUACGAAUAUGUUCAUAUACAACAUAUAUGUAAUAUAGAUAAUACAUACGAUAUUUCUACUUC